rnacentral:rRNA from 1 species
CGACACUAUGUGUUGUUGGGUAGGGGAGCGUUCUGUAAGCCUGUGAAGGUGUGCUGUGAGGCAUGCUGGAGGUAUCAGAAGUGCGAAUGCUGACAUAAGUAACGAUAAAGCGGGUGAAAAGCCCGCUCGCCGGAAGACCAAGGGUUCCUGUCCAACGUUAAUCGGGGCAGGGUGAGUCGACCCCUAAGGCGAGGCCGAAAGGCGUAGUCGAUGGGAAACAGGUUAAUAUUCCUGUACUUGGUGUUACUGCGAAGGGGGGACGGAGAAGGCUAUGUUGGCCGGGCGACGGUUGUCCCGGUUUAAGCGUGUAGGCUGGUUUUCCAGGCAAAUCCGGAAAAUCAAGGCUGAGGCGUGAUGACGAGGCACUACGGUGCUGAAGCAACAAAUGCCCUGCUUCCAGGAAAAGCCUCUAAGCAUCAGGUAACAUCAAAUCGUACCCCAAACCGACACAGGUGGUCAGGUAGAGAAUACCAAGGCGCUUGAGAGAACUCGGGUGAAGGAACUAGGCAAAAUGGUGCCGUAACUUCGGGAGAA